rnacentral:rRNA from 1 species
AGCAGCCGCGGUAAUUCCAGCUCCAAUAGCGUAUAUUAAAGUUGUUGCAGUUAAAAAGCUCGUAGUUGAAUUUCGGGAUCAAUAUAUCGGUCGUGCCUUCGGUACGUAUUGGUAUCAUUGGUUUCUCCUUUCUGACGAACCAUGAUGUCAUUAAUUUGGUGUUAUGGGGAGUUAGGACUGUUACUUUGAAAAAAUUAGAGUGUUUAAAGCAGGCUUUAGCUUGAAUACAUUAGCAUGGAAUAAUGAAAUAGGACGUUCGAACCUAUUUUGUUGGUUUCUAGGAUCAACGUAAUGAUUAAUAGGGAUAGUUGGGGGCAUUAGUAUUCAAUUGUCAGAGGUGAAAUUCUUGGAUUUAUUGAAGACUAACUACUGCGAAAGCAUUUGCCAAGGAUGUUUUCAUUAAUCAAGAACGAAAGUUAGGGGAUCGAAGACGAUCAGAUACCGUCGUAGUCUUAACCAUAAACUAUGCCGACUAGGGAUCGGAUGAUGUUAAUUUUUUAAUGUACUCAUUCGGCGCCUU